ensembl:lncRNA
CAUGCCCACAGCCACACCCAGGCUCCGCCCAGAGGGGCAUCGUUUCGCAGUGUGCCACAGCAACAUAACUCCUGCAGGAUGGUCUUGGAUUUGGAGAUUCCAAGUCCACCCCAGAAGCCUCUACCUGCCGACCCCCUGGGCAGGAAUACCCAGAAGCCUUUGACUGCAGACCACCUGGGCAGGAAUAUCCAAAAACCUCUAUCUGCCGACCAAAUGAGCAGGAAUACCCAGAAGCCUUUACCUGCCUACCCCCUGAGCAGGAAUACCCAGAAGCCUUUGCCUGCUAACCCUAACUCCCCCGGAAGGAGUGGUCAUCUGAUUCAUAGUCCCAUUGCUGUCGGCGUCCCCAUCCCUGUACCUGUCCCCGGUGUCCCCAGGCCGCUGAGACCUGUUCCACACCACAACAGAUCUGUUCCUAAGCAACCCCCAACACUACCUAAGCCUCGUAUGAUCGUCCACGCCAAGUUCAGCAGCUGAGAGCAGCUGGACUAAACUUGAAGGGAAUUGAAGAACGUUCUUUCCGUGAGACGAUAAAGACAUUUCACUUGCACUAUGAAACUCUGAAAACCUUAAUGGUGUGGUGUCUCUGAGUUUUGAAUAAUGGGGACGGACCGUUGGGCGGUUGGCGUGUCAGCGAGUCAGCCCCCCCCUGUUGGUGCUCUGAUGUCAGAGAGGUGCUAUAGGUCUGAGCUCAGGUACACGUAUGUCAGUAUUUAUGUCUUGUUUAUUUAUUCAUUAGUUACCACACAGUGCACUGUGCCAG